GCCUCCCCUCCGCCGCCGACUACACGACUACCGUACGGACGGACGAGACAGGUGGGGAAGUCGUUGCGCAUGCGAAGGCUGACGCAGCGACGCCGCGUGGGGAGGAAGGCCGUUCGGUUGUAACCCUGUUGCCCGGGACGAAGUGUGCAUUUUUGAGUGCAUUGACGGUACCGGGUGAGGAAGCACCGGCUAACUCCGUGCCAGCAGCCGCGGUAAUAC
rnacentral:rRNA from 1 species